UACAGAGGGUGCGAGCGUUGUCCGGAAUCACUGGGCGUAAAGGGCGCGUAGGCGGCUCGGUCAGCGUGCGGUGAAAGCCCGGGGCUCAACCCCGGGUCGGCCGUGCGAACUGCUGGGCUGGAGCACUGUAGAGGCAGGUGGAAUUCCGGGUGUAGCGGUGGAAUGCGUAGAGAUCCGGAAGAACACCGGUGGCGAAGGCGGCCUGCUGGGCAGUAGCUGACGCUGAUGCGCGACAGCG
rnacentral:rRNA from 1 species